GGGUAUGUGGCCAAGUGGUAAGGCACUUCACUUUUAAUGAAGUUAUCGGAGGUUCAAUCCCUCUCAUACCCA
rnacentral:tRNA from 1 species